UCCGUCAACAUUGCUGGGGUUUAUUACUGCUAUGCUAACAUGCAGCAGCCAUACAGAGUUUGAGGAAAAUAAUAGGAAAUUAUGGUCCAGUGUCGUCAGUGGGGAACAUGCAAUCCUGACAGUCGUUACCCAGAACGUGUAAACGGCAGAAUACAAUUUAUUGCAUUUCCUAAACCCAAACGGAGUCUGGAAUAACGCAAGAAAUGGAUCAAGGCCUGCAGUCGACCUCAAGUGCAGUUGAAUGAAGCUGUGAUUGAUGGCAGCUACCACAUGUUGUUCAUCUGCACCAAGGGACUCAGUGGUUUUGGUGACUGACGGCCAAGAGGAGCAGAUAUGAACUAGGCCAGAGUGUCCAGCUUCAGAUUUAAACGACUUCAGACGACUGAAUCACUUCCUCGUGUUCAGGUCUGCUGAUGAACGAUUCAUUUGAUUCAGGGAUUUUCCUCCUGGACGUAGUUCAACCUCAUCACUCAGUCGUAGAAGAAGAAGUUUGUAUCCAUCAGUAGACGAUGAAUUUCCCUCCAUCAGGUUUCUGCAUCCUGACAUCCAUCUUACUCUACAGAUUUCUGGGUUUUGAAGUCCUAUUAAUGCCCUGCUAAAUAAUGUAUUUUGAUGCAAGACGAUUUUAAUCUUUUAGGUUAAAGAUAUAAAUGUUUUGAGUAAUAUAUUAAGUAAUUCUGAAUGUCAUUUUAACCUAAACAUGCAUUAGAUAAAUAUUCAGAACAAUGCAGAGUAUGGUGUUGACUUAAUAUUUGAAGCUAUAUGAUUUUACAUUUCCAGAUGUUUUUUAUUCUACACCUUUCUGCCUAAUGCUGAGCGUGUCUUAACACUAAUUCCUUGUUUCCACAUCUGCAAGCGUGUUGUGAUUUGCAUGAUUAGGGCAUGCACAUGUUCUUUUCACACAAUAAAUGAAGUUAAAUGAAGGUUUCCAUGUGCACACAUAACGUCAGCUAAAUUGUUGCUGGUAUUCAUCAAGCUCAGAUAUCUGCCGUCUCCCACUCCUUUACUCUUAGCUGUCCCUCAUGUUUGAUAAAUAAGGUUGAAUUUUUCUCCUGUUCAGCGUUAAAUAUUUAAAUAUUUUUGCUUCAAACAGAUGAGUCACACAGAUUUAAUGAACAAGUGAAUGUAGAAACAAUGAAGUGGCCCUAAACUCUUUUUAAAGAUAAGGCUGUACUGUUUUGCUCUGCAGGUUUGAUUAAACGGUUUCAUGUCAUAUGAAAUUAAAGUACACAUGAUAUUG